ensembl:lncRNA
CAAUCAGGCCCUCUCUUUUUCCAAUUACGUUCAUGAGAUAAUGGCACAUGUGUUUGAGUGAGAAAGAGAGAGAGAGUGAGAAAGACAGAGAGAGAGAGAGAGAGAGAGAGAGAGAGCGAGCACCAGUGGUGUAGUGGUAUCAUGCAAGAUUCGGGUUCUAUUCCUGGCUGGUGCAGUCUAUCGUGAUGCUUUGUUGCCUGUAACGGCUUGUUGAAAAAAACUACAGGUUUCCUAUGAAUAUGGAGUCGAUUUGAACCUGAUAAUGGAAGUUUCAUAUGUGAAAAGCACCUGAGAUUCCAAGUCAAGGGCACUAAAAUGUAAUGGUGUCACUCAGCAUUGAAGCUCUUGUGAACUGGUGUCGAUUCCUGCCUUGCACAUCUUGUCUGUCGAAAUGUUCUGAGAGUGAGAAGAGGAACACCAACUAAACGCACGCAGAGCUGUAUUAGGCAGAUAUCCCUUAUUUCUAAAUAUUCAAGAACGAUCUCUUAAUCUCUGGACCCAUCUUAAAUCAAGUUCCCCUUAAAACCCAAGAGCCCUAAAACCAGUCCCUCACAAACCCACCAACAUCUAACGAUCAGUUUCAGACCAACUCGACUCAACGAAACCAAAUUAGAAUAAAACCAGUUCAUAAAAACUUGUAAAAAUGCAUAUCUGGACCACUGGGAAAGUGAAAGUAAACGCCAAAGUGAACUGGAUGUUAUCGGGGCCUAAACAGGAAAUACGAGCUGGCAGAAUAACUCUUCAGGGUCAGAGAUAUGAAACAGGGACAGGAUCCUUACAAACUCCAGGCUCCUUGAUCACGGCCUAGCCAUUGAGAAAGGCAGACACAAACAAACAUGGCUUCCAGAAGAAGAAAGAGUGUGCUGUGACUGUAAGACCGGUGAGAGUGAGACAGAGGAACACUUUCUCCUCCACUGUGAUAACCGUAACACAAGAGAAAAAUACUUUGAAAAAUUCUCUAAGCACUUACCCCAGUUUUCCAACCUAUCAGAGCAAACCAUGGCAGGUGCUACUGGGGGCGGAGUCCAAAUGCAGGUGCUACUAGGGGCGGAGUCCCUCCUUUCUUAUCUAUAUUGAUGCUUUGGCAAUGUUGUAUGGAAACAAUCAUGCCAAUAAAGUACUUUGAAUUGAAUUGAGAGAGAGAGAGAGAGAGAGAGAGAAAGAAAGAAAGAAAGGGGGGAUUGAGAGAGAGGGAGAGAGAAGGGGGAUUAAGAGAGAGAGAAAGAAAGAAAGAAAGAAAGGGGGAUUGAGAGAGAGAAAGAAAUGGGGAUUGAGAAAGUGAGAGAAAUAAAGGGGGGGUUGAGAGAGAGGGACAGAAAGAA